AAUUCAUGCAAAUAUUACAGUAUUUUCCAAAACUUUCAUGAUAAUUUAAAUUUGUCUGUUUGAUAGGCUGAAUAUGACCCCAAAAGACAUCUGGGUCUGGAUCGCUGGAGCCUGUGAAUCUUACGUCAUAUGGCAAUAGAAACUUUGCGGAUGUGAUUAAAUUAAGGAUAUUUGAAAUGGGAAAAUAUCCUGGCUUAUCCAGGCAAGCUCUGAAUGCAUCACAAAUGUCUGUAGGAGAGAGGCAGAGUGAAAUUUGACACAGAAAAAGGAUGUUCAGUUUGGCUAUAGUCCCAUGUGUUCAAGUCUGCCAAACAUCAUAAUGAUUCAAGGCAAAAUGUUCAAUCCAGACAUGGGAUUUCAAAGCUGAAGAAAAAGAACUUCUGAACAAAUGACUCUUUCCAUAAGAGUCCAUCCUAUAUUGAAUAUAAGGGCUGACUUUUUCAUUGUAAGUCAACAAAUGGUGAGAGCCUUCUACAUGUAAAGUAAAUUAAAAAUUACCAAUUGAGAAUGUCAGCUUUGAAAUUACUUAAAGACAUUUUCUAGAUGAAAUCAUCAGUUUUAACAUGCCUCCUGUUUUUAAGGUUUUUUUACUUGUCUUUUGUUUUAUCUUUCAUAAUGUGAAAUGUCUACUGUUAUGAAACAAAUGCUGAGCUCAGGAAACCCC
rnacentral:lncRNA from 10 species